rnacentral:lncRNA from 1 species
ACGAAGCCACAUGACAUUAUGCUAAGUGAAAUAAACCAGAAACAGAAAGACAAAUGUAAACUCUCUUCUAUGGGGAAUCUAAAAACAUUGAACUCCUAAAAGCAAAGAGUAGAAUGGUAUUUGCCAGGGUGUGUGAGAAGGGGGAACAGAGAGAUGAUCAAAGGGUACAAAGUUUCAGUUAUCAGAUGAGAAAGUUCUGGAGAUCUAAUGGAUAGCAUGGUGGUUACAGUUAAUAAUACUGUAUCAUGUAGCUGACAUUUGUUAAGAGAGCAGACCUAGGUGUUCACUACACACACACACACACACACACACACACACACACACACACAGACUUAUCUUGGUUUUAACCUUGGCUGCAUAUUAGUGUUCCUGGAGGAGUUUUUACAAAGUCCUGAAGCUCAUCUCCAUCUCCAGAAAUUUUGAUUUAAUAUUGGUGGGUGCUGGCACAGUAGUUCCUGUAAGCCCCUCAGGGGUUCUUUAUGCGCUGGUGUUUGACAACCACACCUUGCAGCUUCAUCCCUGGUUGCUGCCCUCCUGCAGACACCGUGCCUUUUCCUGUCUACAUAGCCUUCAUCCCUGACUACCUGGUGCACUCUUCCUUCUUUGUCUACCUGGACAGUGGUUCUUUCAACUGCUCCUUAUGUGAAGAAUUUCUCCAGGAUUCAUCAUUCCAUCUGGAUCUGUAUAAAUAAAGCUGAAGUUCUGGUCAUGACCACUCCCUGGAUCACUCCUGCCCCUGUGUUCCUGGAGCCUCAGAGUUUUGCGUCACAUGAGCUCCCAAGCUCUUCCUUUCUCAUUCAUCUGCUUUGGUUCAUUCUUGUUGAGACUCACUAUAAGGAAAGCACCUCAUCCUGCUACAGCUGGGUACAGAACUCUGAUGUCUUCAUAAAAGUUGCUGCCUCUUGGGAGCUGUGAGCAUUGGGAUCAGCCAGUAUGGCACAUUUGCUGCUACCUCAGGGCGUGAGAGCAUGCUAAGCUCCACAUGAAGGCCUCACUUUCCCACACUAUCUCCACUGAGCACUGAAGUGAUGAUGUUGUGUCCCUGUGUCUCAGGGGUAAAUGGAGGCAGCCUUUUUCUUUUCAGGGCUGACACAAAAAGUCAAUGGGGCUUGGGGAUGAAUAACAACAAAGGACAGGCCCUCUUGCAUGAGGUCAGUCCCUCCUGCUCCUGCCCUCAAAUGUAUAUGCAAAACUAUUUUCCUUGUUCUGUGCAUGAGGUCACUGUCUAUGGUCCCAUUGAUAUGGUUUGGCUAUGGACUGACCUAAAUCUCAUCUUGAAUUGUAAUAAUCCCCAUAUGUCAAGGGUGGGGUCAGGUGGAGGUAAUGGAAUCACAGGGGGUGGCUUCCCCCAUACUAUUCUCAUGAUAGUGAAAAAGUCUCACGAAAUCUGAUAGUUUUAUAAAUGGGAGUUUCCCUGCACAAGCUCUCUUGCCUGCUGCCAUGUAAGACAUGAUUUUGCUCCUCAUUUGCCUUCCAUAAUGAUUGUGAGACCUCCCCAGCCAUGUGGAACUGUGAGUCAAUUAAACCUCUUUCCUUUAUAAAUUACCCAGUGUUGGGUAUAUCUUUAUUAGCAGUGUGGGAACAGGCUAAUACAGUAAUUGGUACCAGUAGAGUGGGAUUCUGCUGUAAAGAUACCCCAAAAAUGUGGAGGUGACUAUGGAACUGGGUAACAGGCAGAAGUUGGAACAGUUUGGAGGACUCAGAAGACAGGAAAAUGUGGAAAAGUUUGGAGCUUUAUAGAGACUCGGAGGGCUCAUAAGCCAGGAAAAUACGGGAAAGUUUGGAAUUUCCUAGAGACUUGUUGAAUGGUUUUGACCAAAAUGCUGAUAGUGAUAUGGAAAAUAAAGUCCAGGUUGAGGAGGUCUCAGAUGGAGAUGAAGAGCAAAGGUAACUCUUGUCAUGCUUUAGCAAAAAGACUGGCAGCAUUUUGCUUCUGCCAUAGAGAUCUGUGGAACUUGGAACUUGAGAAAGAUGAUUUAGGCAUCCGGUGGAAGAAAUUUUUAAAUAGCAAGGCAUUCAAGAUGUGACUUGGGUGCUGUUAAAAGCAUUCAGUUUUCUGUAUUCACAAAGAUAUGGUUUGGAAUCAGAACUUAUGCUUAAAAGGGAAGCAGAGCAUAAAAAUUUAGAAAAUUUGCAGGCUGAUGAUGCAAUAGAAAAGAAAAACCCAUUUUCUGAGGAGAAAUUCAAGCCUGCUGCAGAAAUUUGCGUAAAUAAUGAGGAGAAAAAUGUUAAUCACCAAGAAAAUGCAGAAAAUGUCUCCAGGGUAUCACAGAGAGAUUUGCAGCAGCCCCUCCCAUCACAGGCCUAGAGGCCUAGGAGGAAAAAAUGGUUUCGUGGGCUGGGCCCAUGGCCUCGCUGCUCUGUGCAGCCUAGGGACUUGGUGCUCUGUGUCCCAGCCACUCUAGCUGUGGCUAAAAGAGGACAAGGUACAGCUCAGGCUGUGGCUUCAGAGGGUGGAAGCCCCAAGCCUUGGCAGCUUCCAUGUGGUGUUGAGCUUGUGGGUGCACAGAAGUUAGGAAUUGAGGUUUGGAAACCUCUGCCUAGUUUCAGAAGAAGUAUGGAAGCACCUGGAUGUCCAGGCAGAAGUUUGCCGUAGGGGUAGGGUCCUCAUGGAGAACCUCUGCUAGGGCUGUGUGAAAGAGCAAUGUGGGGUGGGGUCCCCCAGACAGAGUCCCUACUUGGGCACUGCCUAGUGGAGCUGUGAGAAGAAGCCCACCAUCCCGCAGACUCCAGAGUGGUAGGUCCACCAAUAGCUUGCACCGUGCACCUGGAAAAGUGGCAGACACUCAAUGCCAGCCCAUGAAAGCAACCAGGAGGGAGGCUGUACCCUACAAAGCCACAGAAUGGAGCUGCCCAAGACCAUGGGAACACACCUCUUGCAUCUGUAUGACCUGGAUGUGAGAAAUGGAGUCAAAGAAGAUCAUUUUGGAGCUUUAAGAUUUGACUGCCCCCCUGGAUUUCAAACUUGGAUGGGGUCUGUAGCUCCUUCGUUUUGGCCAGUUUCUUCCAUUUGGAACAGCUGUAUUUGACCAAUGACAGUACCCUCAUUAUAUCUAGGAAGCAACUUACUUGGUUUUGAUUUUACAGGCUCAUAGGUGGAAGAGAGUUUCCUGGUUUCAGAUGAGACUUUGGACUGGGACUUUUGGGUUAAUGCUGUAAUGAGUUAAGACUUUGGGGGACAGUUGGGAAGGCAAGAUUGUUUUUUGAAAUGUGAAAGUGACAUGAGAUUUGGGAGGGUCUGGGGGCAGAAUGAUGUGGUUUGGGUGUUUCCCGACCCAAAUUUCAUCUUGAAUUGUAAUAAUCCACACAUGUCAAGAACAGGGCCAGGUGAAGAUACUUGAAUCAUGGGGGUGAUUUCCUCCAAACUGUUCUCAUGGUAGUGAAUAAAUCUCAAGAGAUCUGAUGGUUUUAUAAAUGGGAUUUCCUCUGCACAAACUUUCUUUCCUGUCACCAUGUAAGACGUGACUUUGCUCAUCAUUCAUCUUCCACCAUGUUUGUAAGGCCUCCCCAACUAUAUGGAACUGUGAGUCAAUUAAACCUCUUUCCUUUAUAAAUUACCCAGUUUUGGGUAUGUGUUUAUUAGCAGCAUGAGAACAGACUAAUACACUCAACCACCUGCUCAAACAUAUCUGACCCAGUCUGAACUCAAGGUAGGACCCCCAAUACACAUGAAAAGCUUUGUAGGCCUUGUCACCUUCACAUUACCUUACCUUGACUCUGAACCAGGAAUUAAUUACCAUGAAAUAAAGGAUGAUGCAAAUGUUGAUGUUGGGUCCAAUCUGUAGUAGUGACAGGAAGUGCUCCACAAGAACACAUAAGUAGGAGUGAAAAGGGGUGCUUCCAUAAGAAGAUGGUUUCUGACAGGUACAGUGGCUCAUGCCUGUA